rnacentral:rRNA from 1 species
GUGGUGCUAUACUGCAGUUGAGCGAUGAAGAUUGGUGCUUGCACCAAUUUGAAGAGCAGCGAACGGGUGAGUAACGCGUGGGGAAUCUGCCUUUGAGCGGGGGACAACAUUUGGAAACGAAUGCUAAUACCGCAUAACAACUUUAAACAUAAGUUUUAAGUUUGAAAGAUGCAAUUGCAUCACUCAAAGAUGAUCCCGCGUUGUAUUAGCUAGUUGGUGAGGUAAAGGCUCACCAAGGCGAUGAUACAUAGCCGACCUGAGAGGGUGAUCGGCCACAUUGGGACUGAGACACGGCCCAAACUCCUACGGGAGGCAGCAGUAGGGAAUCUUCGGCAAUGGACGAAAGUCUGACCGAGCAACGCCGCGUGAGUGAAGAAGGUUUUCGGAUCGUAAAACUCUGUUGGUAGAGAAGAACGUUGGUGAGAGUGGAAAGCUCAUCAAGUGACGGUAACUACCCAGAAAGGGACGGCUAACUACGUGCCAGCAGCCGCGGUAAUACGUAGGUCCCGAGCGUUGUCCGGAUUUAUUGGGCGUAAAGCGAGCGCAGGUGGUUUAUUAAGUCUGGUGUAAAAGGCAGUGGCUCAACCAUUGUAUGCAUUGGAAACUGGUAGACUUGAGUGCAGGAGAGGAGAGUGGAAUUCCAUGUGUAGCGGUGAAAUGCGUAGAUAUAUGGAGGAACACCGGUGGCGAAAGCGGCUCUCUGGCCUGUAACUGACACUGAGGCUCGAAAGCGUGGGGAGCAAACAGGAUUAGAUACCCUGGUAGUCCACGCCGUAAACGAUGAGUGCUAGAUGUAGGGAACUAUAAGUUCUCUG